ensembl:processed_transcript
GUACAAACUGAAAUGCUUUAUGAGCCUCUUCAGUCCAUCAUUUCACCGCAGCUGAACAACGUUACUCUUCUGUUCAAUUAGAAAGAGAAGAAUCUGGAAAAUGAAUUUUCUUCUUCUUGCUCUAGCCUUUUUGGUUUCUGCUGCUGAGGAACCCUUACAGGUACAAGGAUGGGCUAUCCGGGAGUUAUGUGGGAAGAAACUAUGGUUUAGUGAACUUAUCACAGUUGGAACUGACAAUCAGUGUGAUUCUAUGAAUAUAUUGGUUCCUAUUUGUUUUUUGUACUUGGAAUAUAUCCCAUUUGUUAAAAUAUUAUUAUAUUAGUUUAACAUUAUAAUUACUUCAUUUCAGCUUCAUAUGGUACCUAAUAUUAUUUUACCUGGGUAAAGGGUAUUAAAAGGAACAUCUUAUUAAUGGUAUGUUUUAACUUUGCAUACUUAAUUUUAUUUGUAUUUAGAGUAUUAUUAUUCUACAUGAAUUCAGUGAUGACUUUUAAUCAGUAUAAUAAAAACAAAAUCAGUUUGAUAUCUGCAGGGCAAACACAUUAUAUAUCAUAUGUUUGAAGAAUAGAUUUUUCUCCUUUUGAGUCACUGCACUAUGAUAAAUAUGUGAGAUAAUAUUAAUUGUAAAACAGAAAUUUUUCCAAAACAAGGACUAAUUCUGUGAAGUUUGAUUUAGCAUGUUUGUUCAUGUGUGUGUGUGUGUGUGUGUGUGUGUGUGUGCAUUUGUGUGUGUAUGUUUGUAUGUUUGUGUAUAUGCAUGUGAUUUCAAAGAGGAAAAUUGGUCCUAAAUUUUUGGAAUACAAAGAAUUUUGACAACAAAAUGGUUGCUUCUUUUUUAUUUACAUUGAAGUCAUUUAGUAUGUGGAUUCCAUUACAUUAUUAAGAUUACUUUUUAGUGUGGAUUCAGCUUCCUAAAAGAAACUUAUAAUUUAUAUUUGCACUUUUUUCUUCAUGAUAUUUUGCAUGAUAUAAAAUUAUUAUCAUGUAUAUAUGUUUCUAAAUAAGAUGUUAUUUAAUUAUAAGGUAAAAGCAGAAAUACACUAUAAUGCAUUUAGCACAUAUUUAAUUUUUUUCUAUCACAAUAUUAAAUAAUUUCUAUUGUUUUGCUUGAACAACUAUAAUUUACUUUUCUUUUUCUUUUUAUUCUUUUUAAUUAGAUAUAGUCUUUAUUUAUAUUUCAAUUUUUAUCUCCUUUUAAUUCCCCCCCCCCGAACCUCACUAUUUCAACAUCCCUACUGCUGCUUCUAUGAAGGUAUUGCCCCAAACACCCACUCCUGCCUCCCGACACUGGCAUUUACUUAACUUACUUUUCUAAAUAUUGAUUUACCUUAAAGUUUCACUUAGUUGAUUUUAUUGUUUUAUGUGUGUGCGUAAUUUGUCUGCAGGUUGCACUAUAUAUACGUAGUACCUACCAAGGCCUUAAGAUAUACCUCAGAAACGAACUUACAGGAGAUUUUGAGCAAACAUGUGGGUGUGGGAACUCAAACUCAUAUGCUGCCACUGAUGGUUUUAAUUUAUAUUAAUUUUUAGUUUUCAGGGAAAUUUCAUACUGUCUACCUAGCAAGUAAAUCUGUGGGUGCAAUAGCAGAAAAUAGUCCAGAGCGUAUGCUGAUGCGUGAAGUUCAGUUUUUUAAUGAACACAGUGUCAUGAGCAUGACGUUCUAUGUGAGGUAAGAAAAGGUCUUUCAUUAAAAGGAACAAUUUGUUGAAAUGGGAAUCAUCCUUGAGGUCACUCUCCUCACUUUGGUGAUGUGGGAAAUCCUGUCAAUUUAGGAUUGAGCCCCAUUUCCAUCACUAAAUCUUGGUGCACAAAGGAAGACUGUCCAUUUCCAAUAGGAAUCACAAACUCAAAAGAUGUUUAAUAAGAUAUUUACAAACCAAAACCUAGCAUCAUAGAAAACAGAUUCAAGGCCAGGAAUUUGGUUUACUUUCAGAAAGAUGUGACUUUUUGGAGGGAGAAAUAGACAUUUGAUUAUAAAUGUGAAAUAAGGAGAGUUUAUAGUUUAAUAUGCAUUGUUUAGGAAAAACGGGAUCUGCCAACUACACACAGUUUGGGCUGAUAAACUCCCAUGGAAUUAUUGCACAAAGAAAGGUGAGUAUUACUGAUUCAGGAUUGACUGCAUUGUUUACAUGUUAUUUAAGGAUUUGAACUUCAUCAAGACUGUCUUUAGUGGAGAAAUGGUCUAUUAUGUCUAAUUUUACAGAGUUUUAAAUCCGCCGAGAAUGUCUCAAAAGCAAAGGGACCCAUGAUCUCUGUGGGACCUGGAAAGUGCAUGAUCCAGUUCGUCAUUUUCCAAAUAUCUACUAUUUAUCAUAUGAAGGAGGGUUAAAAAAAAAGUGAGCUUAAUAGCCAUUAUUUAUUCUCCACCAGUAGGAGUGAGUGUAUUGCACUUAUGAAUGAAAAUUUCUAGGUGGCAAAAAAGGAAACAAAAAUCAAACAAAUAGCCAGGUGUGGUGGUGCACACCUUUAAUCCCAGCACUCAGGAUGCAGAGGCAGGCAGUUUUCUGAGUUCGAGACCAGCCUGGUCUACAAAGUGAGUUCCAGGACAGCCAGGACUAAAUAGAGAAACCCUGUCUCGAAAACAAAACAAAACAAAACAAAGCAAAACAAAACAACAAAAACAAAACAAACC